rnacentral:snRNA from 1 species
AUACUUACCUGGGCGGGGUCGAUCGGUGAUCAAGAAGGCCGAUGGCUUAGAAAGGUCACUCCAUUGCACUUGGGAGGGGGUUCUUUCUAGCAUCUCCCAUUGAGGAGAGCGUACGUCAUAAUUUGUGGCAGCGGGGGCUCGCGU